rnacentral:rRNA from 1 species
UACGAAGGGUGCAAACGUUGCUCGGAAUUAUUGGGCGUAAAGCGCACGUAGGCGGCUUGGCAAGUCGGAUGUGAAAUCCCUCGGCUCAACCAAGGAAGUGCAUCCGAAACUGCUGAGCUUGAGUACUUAAGAGGAUCGCGGAAUUCCCGGUGUAGAGGUGAAAUUCGUAGAUAUCGGGAAGAACACCGGUGGCGAAGGCGGCGACCUGGUCCGAUACUGACGCUGAGGCGCGAAGGCGUGGGGAGCGAACGGG